rnacentral:lncRNA from 12 species
GACACUUUUUACAGCUGUUUUUGCUCUUUAACAAUUUGUUUCUUUCCUCUGUAGCUCAAGGAAAGGAUGGAAAAGGAGCCAAAAGCUUCGUGUGAGUCAAGAGGUGCAGAAGUGCUGCCAAGCAUUGGUUCCCACCAUGGCAGGAACGACUCCUGGGGUGGUGAAUUCCAAAGAAACGGCUCUGUGGUGGCUGGCACCGACUGCAGCAGGAAAGUCAUGCAGAGAGAGGAACAAGGCAGCAGAUGA